GCCACCGACGAUCCUAUUGUCAUCAUGGGCCACUGCCCCGCCCGGUGUUACCGGUAUUGUAAGAACAAGCCAUACCCAAAGUCUCGUUUCUGCCGUGGUGUCCCUGAUGCUAAGAUCCGAAUCUUUGAUUUGGGACGGAAGAAAGCAAAAGUUGAUGAAUUCCCACUUUGUGGCCAUAUGGUGUCAGAUGAAUAUGAGCAACUCUCUUCUGAAGCACUGGAGGCUGCCCGUAUUUGUGCCAACAAAUACAUGGUAAUGAGUUGUGGCAAGGAUGGCUUUCAUAUCCGAGUGAGGCUCCACCCUUUCCAUGUCAUCCGUAUCAACAAAAUGUUGUCCUGUGCUGGGGCUGACAGGCUCCAGACAGGGAUGCGUGGUGCCUUUGGGAAGCCCCAGGGCACAGUGGCCAGGGUUCACAUUGGCCAGGUCAUCAUGUCCAUCCGAACCAAGUUGCAGAAUAAGGAACAUGUGAUUGA